UUUCCGUUCCAAAAAUUCAGCACUUCACAGAUAUUUCCUUAGGCAGGAUGAUGUUUUGAGUUUAGCUGAAAUUGAAAAACUCAUGCGUAAAGGAGAUGAAAUUAUCUAUUACUGAAAAGUUGAUGAACUUUACCAUUUGAUUAUAACAGCACCUUCUGGAGUUAGUCAUGGAGGCAUCCACACCACUAUAAGAGGUAAAAAAUAAACAAUUUGCCAAUAUCAGCAGAGAAAUUAUAUAUAUAUAUAUCAUAGAUAUAUGAACAGUGUAUUUUGAAAAUAAAGUCGCUCUGAAGCCCCUAUAUUAGUUGUUUGUUUUAUCACUUUUACAGACUUAAAUACUCGUUGGCAAGUAUACAUUGUUGACUAUCAUGUACAGAUGGAGAAUAUAAGUAGAUCAUGCACUACCAGGAUCACUUUACCAAUUACGUGUACUGUACUCUAAAGAUAAAAAGAGCUGCUGAACUGAUUUACCAACUCACUUAAUUUUUUUCUUACUUUUGGGAAUUCCACAUAUACUGCAAAGUGAUAAUGGAAGGUAAUUUACAGCUUAUGUAAUUACGGAGGUUACGAUACUAUUUUCAGGUCAUUAAGAAUGGCAUAUUGUGGUUUUAAAAUUGAUUCACGUGCAGCAGAAAUAAACACAUUCAUUCUUAAACCAGUUGCUAGCAUGACACGGGUCAUGUCUUCUCAUGUAUUUUAGGAUAGCAUCAUACUAAACCCCUAACGGGAGGGAUUGUGCUUGAUUUUCAUUUGAAGAGGACAUUAUUUUUUAUCAGUUUAAUUGAGGUUUGUAGCUGGCAUGUCAGUAAAUGUUAGUAUUCCAUUAUUAAUAAAUAUGUAUCAUUGUCAUUAAGAUUUGGUUUAUUUUAUGAAUCUCAAAGAUAGUGAGUUGUAUAAGUAACUAUCUUUUUCUUUACAAACAUUGUACAAGUAAUUUCUUGUACAAUUUAUUUGUACAAGUAAUAAAUUUUAUGAUGGAACCAUGCAAUUAAUAAUUUGUACAAAGUGUUUGUACAAGUAAUAACCCGAACUAAAUAAUUACAUGUACACGACAUUUAAAUAUCAAAAUAUCAAUUCAAGCAGAACAGUAUGUAUUCUUUUUAUAAUUUUCGAAAUAAGUAUUUCUAUUUGUAAACUUAUUUUUUUCUGUCAAUUUUGUAUGCAACAUAUGUGCAUUGAAACCCUACAGAUGAAUACAAAAUAAUGAUGUUUUAUAAAAAUAUUGGUAAAUCUAUAUGCAUCUUAUUCCCUUAUUACAUUAAUAUAAAAACAUAUCACAUGUAGAUUCUUUUGACUUUGUUUAAUGAUAAUUGCAUACCGUAUAGCGGGUUAUUUUCGCGGAGUGUAAAUUGUCGCUGAUUUUUUUCGGAUAGAACAAAAUCGCCAAAUUAAAGUGUACAUGCAAAGGUAUCGAUUAAAGUUUUUAAUCCGCCAAAAUAAUAACCACCAAAAUGUUUCAUAUACCUUAUUCAAUGAAUAUCGCGAAAUUUUAGACCGGCGAAAAUAACCCGCUAUACGGUAUAAACUACAAUUAUUAAUGAUGUCUUUUAUAACAAUACAUUUGGUAUAAGCAAUAUCUUUUGAAUAAGAGUAAAUGGUAAGUAUUUAAAACAAGCAAUAACGCUCGUAUCAUUAAACUUAAAUACACUAAUAACGCGAUGCCCCCGGAUUAUACUGUUCUGCAUAGUACGGUGCUUUGGUCAUUUGCUCGUUUGAUGGAAGUACCGAUGAUGGUCUCGGGUUUGGACUGAUUGCAUCGGUAUAAACUAGAGGCUGCUGCAAAUAUCCAGGGUUUUCUAUACCAGUAAUACCAUUUUCAACAGGCCCUUGAAUCUAAAAUAUAUAUAUAUGUAUAACUCACACUGGAAAGUAUAAAUUAUCUUUUUGUCGCUUUUGAAAUGAAAACGGGUUGAAUUUAUUCGUAUGGUAUUAUUGUUAUUGUUAACUGACAAACAUUGUAUAAGCAAUAUCAAGAUAUAUCAAAAAUUUAAGUGUUUACUUUAAAUCAAUUGCGUUUAAAAUUAGUUCAAAUGAUUACAUAUGAUACCAAGUGAAGGAAAUAAAAACAAAUAUACUCAC
rnacentral:lncRNA from 1 species